GUGGGGAAUUUUGGACAAUGGGCGCAAGCCUGAUCCAGCAAUGCCGCGUGCAGGAAGAAGGCCUUCGGGUUGUAAACUGCUUUUGUACGGAACGAAACGGUCCGGGUUAAUACCCUGGGCUAAUGACGGUACCGUAAGAAUAAGCACCGGCUAACUACGUGCCAGCAGCCGCGGUAAUACGUAGGGUGCAAGCGUUAAUCGGAAUUACUGGGCGUAAAGCGUGCGCAGGCGGUUAUAUAAGACAGAUGUGAAAUCCCCGGGCUCAACCUGGGAAUUGCGCUUGUGACUGCAAGGCUGGAGUGCGGCAGAGGGGGAUGGAAUUCCGCGUGUAGCAGUGAAAUGCGUAGAUAUGCGGAGGAACACCGAUGGCGAAGGCAAUCCCCUGGGCCUGCACUGACGCUCAUGCACGAAAGCGUGGGGAGCAAACAGGAUUAGAUACCCCGGUAGUCC
rnacentral:rRNA from 1 species